rnacentral:rRNA from 1 species
CUGGAGGUAUCAGAAGUGCGAAUGCUGACAUAAGUAACGAUAAAGCGGGUGAAAAGCCCGCUCGCCGGAAGACCAAGGGUUCCUGUCCAACGUUAAUCGGGGCAGGGUGAGUCGACCCCUAAGGCGAGGCCGAAAGGCGUAGUCGAUGGGAAACAGGUUAAUAUUCCUGUACUUGGUGUUACUGCGAAGGGGGGACGGAGAAGGCUAUGUUGGCCGGGCGACGGUUGUCCCGGUUUAAGCGUGUAGGCUGGUUUUCCAGGCAAAUCCGGAAAAUCAAGGCUGAGGCGUGAUGACGAGGCACUACGGUGCUGAAGCAACAAAUGCCCUGCUUCCAGGAAAAGCCUCUAAGCAUCAGGUAACAUCAAAUCGUACCCCAAACCGACACAGGUGGUCAGGUAGAGAAUACCAAGGCGCUUGAGAGAACUCGGGUGAAGGAACUAGGCAAAAUGGUGCCGUAACUUCGGGAGAAGGCACGCUGAUAUGUAGGUGAAGCGACUUGCUCGUGGAGCUGAAAUCAGUCGAAGAUACCAGCUGGCUGCAACUG